UACGAAGGGUGCAAGCGUUACUCGGAAUUACUGGGCGUAAAGCGUGCGUAGGCGGUUUGUUAAGUCAGAUGUGAAAGCCCCGGGCUCAACCUGGGAACUGCAUUUGAUCCUGGCGAGCUAGAGUACGGUAGAGGGUGGUGGAAUUCCCGGUGUAGCGGUGAAAUGCGUAGAGAUCGGGAGGAACAUCUGUGGCGAAGGCGGCCACCUGGACCAGUACUGACGCUGAGGCACGAAAGCGUGGGGAGCAAACAGG
rnacentral:rRNA from 1 species